GAGCCCGACAAUGGUGUUGCCAGGAAACGGCCCGGUUCCACUCCGCUGGCCUCCAGGGGAUAAAGUCGGGUGAGCCCCUUACGCAGGGUGGGGCACCAGGCCGUGUACGUGCGACUUGCCCGGCCUGAAUACAGCAAAGGGCCCCGGGCAUCACGUUGGGGUUUGGGAUCUGUGCCUGGGGGGCGGGGGGGGGGGCAGAUUUUGCAGCUCCCCUUUAGUACAGUGACUGUACUAGUUGAACUUACAAUUAAUCACUUACUUGCAAAAAGAACAUCCCACACUCAUUUGCUUCUUUGGGCUCCGCCGCCAUUGCUCUGUUCUAAGCCUCCAUCACCUUCCACCUGGAUACAGCCAUCGCUGUGUGGAUAGUCUCCGUUUUUCACCCUUGUUCCUCUAUGUUCCAGCUGCCAGAGAUCUUUUUAAAAGUGAAAAUCUGGUUCUGUCUCACCGCAUUCUCCUAAAUAGUCCCAUGGCUCCCCGCUGACCGCAUGAUAAAGGUCUAAUAUACCUGCAAAGCAUAUUAAAGCCCCAAAUGUCUCAGGCGCUGUGGACUCCAGCCACACUGGCCUUUCAUCAUUCUACCUGAAGGGGCUUUGAAUGUUGUUUCUCCCUUGUGUCUCCUUGCCUCUUCCUGCUUAUUUUUCAACUUGCAGUUCAGCCGUCACUUCCUCGGAGAAAUCUUGUCUGAUUCUGAAAAUCACGUCAGAUCUCCUUUAUGCACUUGGAUGUCCAUCACUUCUUUUAAAACUCUUCCACAAUUCGACUCUGCGUAUUUCCAUCAAGAAAAAGAAAAAUCUGGAUUAACAGUUGCUACAUUUCUAAAUGAUGACCUGACUAAAACCUAUAGGUUCAUCUUGAAGCAGAUGAUUUUUGCAACCAAGACAAAGUUAGCUUUCAAAGAAGAUCUGCCCAGUUCUCUAAUCCCUUGUUGUCAGAUGUGGCAAACAGGAAUUCUUAUACCUGGCAGGUGGACAAGGGCAGUGAUUCUCAAACUUCAUUAUCUCAGAACCCUUUACAUCCACCAAAAUGACUGAAGAUUCCAAAAAGCUUUUAUUUAUCCAAUUUUGUUCUUUUAUCUAUCGGUAUGAUUUUAUCUAUAAAUAUUUGCCAUAAAAACUGAGGACUUUAAAAAUAGUUAUCAAUUCAUUUAAAAUAUCAAUAAUAAACCCAUUACAUAUUACUAUGACACACUUUUAUGCUAAAACUAUAUUUUCCCUAAAACCAGACAAGUGGUUUUGUAAAUCUGUCUGGCUUAGUUAAAAAAAAAAAAACCGUUGGAUUCUCAUGUCUGCUUCAUGCAAUCUGUUGUGAUUCAUAUGUCAUAUGCAAAGUCUUACUGUGCAUUCAUAAAAGAAUAAAGUGAAAAAGGCAAAUAUUGUCUUAGAAUUAUUAUGGAAAAAGUAUUAACCUAGCAGGCUUUCAGAAAGAAUUGGUCUCUGAACCACACUUUGAAAAUUGCUGAACUAGGGUUGAACUAUAGAGCCAAGUAUGUGCACAGGAAUGAUAGAAGAGGCAGAGAAAUGAAUCAAGUCAGUAUUGAUUUUGUGCAGGAACACUUCAUAUUCCAAUCUGAAUUAGUAAUUUUAAAAAGUGAUAGGACACUCCUGUGUAACAGCAAUACAAAUAGUAUAUGGCGAGUGUAUUUUAAGCAAAGAGCAAUCUUUUUGUUUUUAUUUAUUUUUUCUUUUUUCUUUUUGUUUUUAAACAGAAAGUAACUUCAUUGAGUUUUGAUUUCUAUAUCAUAAGUUUACAGUUAAAUGUACAAUUUGACGAGUGUUAAUAAAUUUAUAAAGUUGUGUAACCAUCACUACAGUCUCAUUUGAGAACAUUUCCAUCAACUCAAAAAAGUUCAGAAAUGAAACCCAAAACACUCAUGUUUCUGUUUGCAGUAAAACUCUGCCCCCACCUCCAACCCCAGGUGCUUUUGUCUCUAAUUUUCCCUUUUCUAGAAAUUUCAUUUAAACAGAAUCAUAUGUAAACUUAACUGUUAGCUUCUUUAACAUAGCAUACUAUUUUUGAAGCUCAUCCAAGUUGAAUGUAUUAGUAAUUCAUUCCUUUUUUAUUACAGAGUUGUAUUCCGUUGUAUGGAAGUACCAAAUUGUAUAUAGUUAUUCUGUUGUAAGAUGUCUUUCACUCAUCUUGUUUAUCUACUUUCUUGCUGAUGGGUUUUUGGAUUAUUUCUAGAUUUUAGCUGCUAUGAAUAUCAUGUCCACUCAUAUACAAAUAUUUGUGGUACCUAGGAACAGAAUUACUAGGUUAUAUGGUAAGUAUAUGUAUAACAUUUUUAAAAACUGUCAGACUACUUUGCAAAAUAGGUACUAUUUUACAUUUCCACUCACAAUAUAUAAGGAUCCCAGCUUCUCUGCUUCUUCUCCAACAUUUGGUAUCAUAAGUCAUUUAAAUCUUAGCCAUUCAAGUGGGUAUGUAGUAUACAUAGCAGUAAAUAAUUGUGAUUUAAAAUGACAAUUUCACAGGUUGCCUGGGGGGCUCAGCUGAUGAAGCAUCUGCCUUUGGUUCAGGAUCCUCAGAUCCUGGGAUUGAACCCCUCAUGGGGCUUCCUGCUCAGUCUGCUUCUUCUUCUGCCCUCCCCCCACUUGUGAUUGCUUUCUGCUCUCUUGUGUUCUCUUUCUCAAAUAAAUAAAUAUAAUCUUUAAUAAAAUUACAUUUUCACAAUGAAUAAUGACAGUGUUUUUUCAUAUGCUUAGUUGCUAUUCAUAUAUUUUCAUUGCCUACCGUCUAUUAAAGUCUUUUUGCCCAUUUUCUUAGAUUUGGUUGUUGGUUUUCUUAAUUUUGAUUUUUUAGGGAUUCUUUUUCAGGGUUUCUUAAUAUGUUCUGGAUGCAGGUUCUUUAUUAGAUGUAUGUUUGCAAAUAUUUUCUUCCAGUCUGUGACUUCUUUUCAUUCUUCUUAUUUUUCAUUCUUAAUGGUGUCUUUUGAAGAGCAAGUUUUAAACUUUGAUGGAGUCUAAUUUAGCAAUAUGCCUGUCAUCAUAUCGAAGAAAUUUUUGCCUAACCUAAAGUUAAAAAGGUUUUUCUCUAUAAAUGUGACACUGCACUGUCUUGAUUACUACAGAUUUAUGGUAAAUUUUGAAAUUAGGUCAAAUAAGUCCUCAAACUUAGUUCUUUUUAAAAACCAUAUUAGCUGUUUUUGGUCUUUGGGAUUUCUAUGUAAAUUUCAGCAUUAGCUUAUCAAUUUACACAGCAAAGUCCAUUGGUAUUUACAUAAGAAUUCCAUUGAAUCUUUGGGUCAGUUUUGAGAAAAUAGAUAUCUUAAUAACAUUGAGUCUUCCAAUUUGCAGACUUUAGGCAUAUCUGCAUUGAUUUUGGUCUUUAAUUUUUCUUGACAAUGUCUUAUAAUUUUUGGUAUGUAUAGUCUGCACUUCUUUUGUUAAAUUUAGUCCCGAAUAUUUGUAUACUGUUGUGAAUAUAAAUUUUUCUUAACUUAAUUUCUAAUUGGUUGUUUAUUGAUAUUAUAUUCACAUUUUCUUGCCUGUUG
rnacentral:lncRNA from 1 species